CUGCACCAGAAGCAGGUAGCCUGACCGCAAGGGGGGCGCCUACCACGGUGUGGUCAAUGACUGGGGUGAAGUCGUAACAAGGUAGCCGUACGGGAACGUGCGGCUGGAUCACCUCCUUUCAA
rnacentral:rRNA from 1 species